AUUAUCUGCCAGCAGAACUACUAGCAACAGCUUAAAACUCAAAGGACUUGGCGGUGCUUUACAUCCCUCUAGAGGAGCCUGUUCUAUAAUCGAUAAACCCCGAUAAACCUCACCACUUCUAGCUAAGCCAGUUUAUAUACCGCCAUCUUCAGCAAACAACAU
rnacentral:rRNA from 1 species